CCUACGGGUGGCUGCAGUGGGGAAUAUUGGACAAUGGGCGAAAGCCUGAUCCAGCCAUGCCGCGUGUGUGAAGAAGGCCUUCGGGUUGUAAAGCACUUUCAGUGGGGAAGAAAGCCUUGGGGCUAAUACCCUCGAGGAAGGACAUCACCCACAGAAGAAGCACCGGCUAACUCCGUGCCAGCAGCCGCGGUAAUACGGAGGGUGCGAGCGUUAAUCGGAAUUACUGGGCGUAAAGCGCGCGUAGGCGGUCUGAUAAGCCGGUUGUGAAAGCCCCGGGCUCAACCUGGGAACGGCAUCCGGAACUGUCAGGCUAGAGUGCAGGAGAGGAAGGUAGAAUUCCCGGUGUAGCGGUGAAAUGCGUAGAGAUCGGGAGGAAUACCAGUGGCGAAGGCGGCCUUCUGGACUGACACUGACGCUGAGGUGCGAAAGCGUGGGUAGCAAACAGGAUUAGAUACCCCAGCAGUC
rnacentral:rRNA from 1 species